rnacentral:rRNA from 1 species
CACGUAGGGUGCGAGCGUUGUCCGGAAUUAUUGGGCGUAAAGCGCGUGUAGGCGGCUCGGUAAGUCUGCUGUGAAAGUCCAGGGCUCAACCCUGGAAUGCCGGUGGAUACUGUCGAGCUCGAGUCCGGAAGAGGCGAGUGGAAUUCCUGGUGUAGCGGUGAAAUGCGCAGAUAUCAGGAGGAACACCAAUGGCGAAGGCAGCUCGCUGGGACGGUACUGACGCUGAGACGCGAAAGCGUGGGGAGCAAACAGG